GACGAACGCUGGCGGCGUGCUUAAAACAUGCAAGUCGAACGGAAAGGCCCUGCUUUUGUGGGGUGCUCGAGUGGCGAACGGGUGAGUAACACGUGAGUAACCUUCCCUUGACUUUGGGAUAACUUCAGGAAACUGGGGCUAAUACCUGAUAGGAGCUCCUGCUGCAUGGUGGGGGUUGGAAAGUUUCGGCGGUUGGGGAUGGACUCGCGGCUUAUCAGCUUGUUGGUGGGGUAGUGGCUUACCAAGGCUUUGACGGGUAGCCGGCCUGAGAGGGUGACCGGCCAAAUGGGGACUGAGAUACGGCCCAGACUCCUACGGGAGGCAGCAGUGGGGAAUAUUGCACAAUGGGCGGAAGCCUGAUGCAGAAACGCCGCGUGCGGGAUGACGGCCUUCGGGUUGUAAACCGCUUUCGCCUGUGACGAAGCGUGAGUGACGGUAAUGGGUAAAGAAGCACCGGCUAACUACGUG
rnacentral:rRNA from 1 species